GUGGAUACCAGGAUUGCACCAACUGGCAUGUUCAACCUCCACCCAAACACUGGAAGACUGAAAUAAACUACAAAAUUAUAAAUGAAGAACAAGCGGGUUUCCUUGGGGACAUCCACAAUACACCAGAGUCUCCCAUGUACAAUGUAUUCAGAAGUGAUUUUGCAGUCCCUUCUUCUGGAAGCACUUGUGGGAUGCUACAGCUCGCCCCAGGUUGUACAUGUUGGCUCUUCUUCUCAGAGACACAAGGACGAUCUGAAUUUACAGCCUCUGGCUCCAUGCCCAGAUACCUGAUUACACU